UGGGGAAUCUUGGACAAUGGGCGCAAGCCUGAUCCAGCCAUGCCGCGUGAGUGAAGAAGGCCUUAGGGUUGUAAAGCUCUUUUGGCAGGGACGAUAAUGACGGUACCUGCAGAAUAAGCCCCGGCUAACUACGUGCCAGCAGCCGCGGUAAUACGUAGGGGGCAAGCGUUGUCCGGAUUUACUGGGUGUAAAGGGCGCGCAGGCGGGAUAAAAAGUCAGUGGUGAAAUCCUACAGCUUAACUGUAGAACUGCCUUUGAUACUUUUAUUCUUGAGUUCGGGAGAGAGAGACGGAAUUCCAGGUGUAGUGGUGAAAUACGUAGAUAUCUGGAAGAACACCAGUUGCGAAGGCGGUCUCUUGGUCCGACACUGACGCUGAGGCGCGAAAGCGUGGGGAGCAAACA
rnacentral:rRNA from 1 species